CCUACGGGCGGCAGCAGUGGGGAAUAUUGCGCAAUGGGCGAAAGCCUGACGCAGCGACGCCGCGUGAGGGAUGAAGGUCUUCGGAUCGUACACCUCUGUCAGCAGGGAAGAACGGUCACUGUGCUAAUCAGCAGUGAAUUGACGGUACCUGCAAAGGAAGCACCGGCUAACUCCGUGCCAGCAGCUGCGGUAAUACGGGGGGUGCGAGCGUUAAUCGGAAUUACUGGGCGUAAAGCGCUCGUAGGCGGUAUGGCAAGUCAAGGGUGAAAUCCCCGCGCGCAACGUGGGAACUGCCUUUGAAACUGGCAAACUGGAGUGUGUGAGAGGAUAGUGGAAUUCCAGGUGUAGGAGUGAAAUCCGUAGAUAUCUGGAGGAACAUCAGUGGCGAAGGCGACUAUCUGGCACAUAACUGACGCUGAGGAGCGAAAGCGUGGGUAGCAAACAGGAUUAGAUACCCCAGUAGUC
rnacentral:rRNA from 1 species